rnacentral:rRNA from 1 species
GAUGAACGCUGGCGGCGUGCUUAACACAUGCAAGUCGAGCGAGAACCUAAAAAUGACGCUUCGGUAGAUUUUUAGGCGGAAAGCGGCGGACGGGUGAGUAACGCGUAGGCAACCUGCCCUUAGCAGAGGGAUAGCCUCGGGAAACCGGGAUUAAAACCUCAUAAUACUGAUUUGUCACAUGUCAGAUUAGUCAAAGAUUUAUCGGCUAAGGAUGGGCCUGCGUCUGAUUAGCUGGUUGGUGAGGUAACGGCUCACCAAGGCAAUGAUCAGUAGCCGACCUGAGAGGGUGAUCGGCCACAUUGGAACUGAGACACGGUCCAAACUCC